UACGAAGGGGGCUAGCGUUGCUCGGAAUCACUGGGUGUAAAGGGUGCGUAGGCGGGGCUUUAAGUCAGGGGUGAAAUCCUGGAGCUCAACUCCAGAACUGCCUUUGAUACUGAGGAUCUUGAGUUCGGGAGAGGUGAGUGGAACUGCGAGUGUAGAGGUGAAAUUCGUAGAUAUUCGCAAGAACACCAGUGGCGAAGGCGGCUCACUGGCCCGAUACUGACGCUGAGGCACGAAAGCGUGGGGAGCAAACAGG
rnacentral:rRNA from 1 species